ACCUACGGGGGGCAGCAGUCGGGAAUAUUGCGCAAUGGAGGAAACUCUGACGCAGUGACGCCGCGUGCAGGAAGAAGGUUUUCGGAUUGUAAACUGCUUUAGACAGGGAAGAAACAAGACAGUACCUGUAGAAUAAGCUCCGGCUAACUACGUGCCAGCAGCCGCGGUAAUACGUAGGGGGCAAGCGUUAUCCGGAUUUACUGGGUGUAAAGGGAGCGUAGACGGCUGUGCAAGUCUGAAGUGAAAGGCAAGGGCUCAACCUUUGGACUGCUUUGGAAACUGUGCAGCUAGAGUGUCGGAGAGGC
rnacentral:rRNA from 1 species